rnacentral:rRNA from 1 species
CAUCCCAGUUCGGAUUGCAGGCUGCAACCCGCCUGUAUGAAGUUGGAAUCGCUAGUAAUCGCGGAUCAGCAUGCCGCGGUGAAUACGUUCCCGGGCCUUGUACACACCGCCCGUCACACCAUGAGAGUCGGGAACACCCGAAGUCCGUAGCCUAGCCGCAAGGGGGGCGCGGCCGAAGGUGGGUUCGAUAAUUGGGGUGAAGUCGUAACAAGGUACC